CAAAUAUAUACUAGUCCAGUGAUAAUGAACGCCAUACUAAUUUCCAAAUUGUACACAAGAAACCAAAAUUAAAAUAAUACAAGACUAACAAAGGCCAGAGGCUCCUGACUUGGGACAGGCGCAAAAAUGCGGCGGGGUUAAACAUGUUUGUGAGAUCUCAACCCUCCCCCUAUACCUCUAACCAAUGUAGAAAAGUAAACGCAUAACAAUACGCAC
rnacentral:lncRNA from 1 species